CGAAUCGGAUAAGUGUCUUCGGACACGAAACUCGCCUGCAAUUCCCGGCAUCACCGCGCAAGCGGUGUGGCGACUUCACUUCUGCCUUCGGGCAGUAUCAAC
ncrna:unclassified sequences DTF3577 RNA